UACGUAGGGUGCGAGCGUUGCCCGGAUUUAUUGGGCGUAAAGGGCGCGUAGGCGGCCUGUUAAGUCGAACGUGAAAUCCCCGGGCUCAACCCGGGAACUGCGUCCGAUACUGGCAGGCUUGAAUUCGGGAGAGGGAUGUGGAAUUCCAGGUGUAGCGGUGAAAUGCGUAGAUAUCUGGAGGAACACCGGUGGCGAAGGCGGCAUCCUGGACCGAUAUUGACGCUGAUGCGCGAAAGCCAGGGGAGCAAACGGG
rnacentral:rRNA from 1 species